rnacentral:rRNA from 1 species
AAUGAACGCUAGCGGGAUGCCUUACACAUGCAAGUCGAACGGAGUGGCGAACGGGUGAGUAAUGUAUCGGAACGUGCCCCGUAGCGGGGGAUAAAUACGCGAAAGAGUAGCUAAUAACGCAUACUAUUAGACCGGCCGAUAUCGGCGUAGCUAGUUGGUGGGGUACAGGCUCACCAAGGCGACGAUCCGUAGCCGGUGUGAGAGGACGACUAGCCACACUGGGACGGAGACACUGCCCAGACUCCUACGGGAGGCAGCAGUAGGGAAUUUUGGACAAUGGAGGAAACCCUGCUCGAGCCAUCCCGCUUGUGCGAUGAAGGCCUUCGGGUUAUAAAGCACUUUUGGUAGGAAAGCGGUACCUGCAGAAUAAGCACCGGCUAACUACGUGCCAGCAGCCGCGGUAAUAC